AUUCCAGCUCCAAUAGCGUAUAUUAAAGUUGUUGCAGUUAGAACGCUCGUAGUCGGAUUUCGGGGCGGGCCGACCGGUCUGCCGAUGGGUACGCACUGGUCGGCGCGUCCUUCCUUCCGGAGACCGUGCCUACUCUUAACUGAGCGGGGGCGGGAGACGGAUCGUUUACUUUGAAAAAAUCAGAGUGUUUCAAGCAGGCAGCUCGCUCUUGCAUGGAUUAGCAUGGGAUAAUGAAAUAGGACUUUGGUGCUAUUUUGUUGGUUUCGAACACCGAAGUAAUGAUGAGAAGGGACAGUCAGGGGCAUUUGUAUUCGACCGAGAGAGGUGAAAUUCUCAGACCAGUCGAAGACAAACUACUGCGAAAGCAUCUGCCAGGGAUGUUCUCAUCG
rnacentral:rRNA from 1 species